AUUUUCAACUUUCAGUGUCAUUUCAAAUUUCAGAAAAAUAAGUGUGGAAAACAGCUUGAUGACAGCUUUGUGACAUCCACCCCUCUACCUCCGAGUGCCUUUUAUCCGACAGGAAAACAAAACAGCCUAGCAUGCGGCGCUGUGUAGAAAUCAGAAUCCCUUGUGUACUUCCAAGGAAAUCCGUGGGAGCGGGUGGACAUGGACCCAUUGGCUUAAUCCUCUUCCCACCACUCUGUGGAGCUUGUGAGAGGACAAGGAGAGGACGGAGGCAUCUGAGCCUCGGAUGGACAGCAUCCCUCCGCUAACUGAAGCACCUCUGCCUCCAGGAAAGGAAGGGGAAUGAGGUUGAGUGACAAAGCAAACGCACAGGCUGCCCCUGAAUCCCUCAUUGACUUGAAACCCACCCUUCAGAGGCAACCAGCAGCUUCCAGACCAGCCUUUCAUCAUUCGUUGUCCUUCCUAAUGAGAACGACAUUAGACUUUUACCUCAACCCGACUACAAUGAUUUUACAGUAGAAAAUGAUCAUCUCCACACUUCAGAAGCACUGAUGAUGUUUGCUAUUGGCUGCAUAAAACCCCUAAAAUGCUUUCAAAUUAAAAUCCUGCCAUAAUAACUGUUUUUUCUUCUUGUAUUUCCAUAUGCUACAGAGAGGAGCAGAAUCAUUAUUUUCCAUCAGUUAAUUUAGAAGUGGCUGAAAGACCCCAACAGUAAUCCUCUGAAAGUUUCUGCAAGUAAACAUGAGAACUGGUCUCUGCUCUGAAGAAUCAAGGAACUAAAAAACCACAGUGGCAUCUUUUAUGCUGAGCAUCACCCCUGUGCCUUUACUCUAUUUUUCCUUAAGCGUCUGUAACUAGACUGUUAAGCAUUUCAGCCAUGUGACUAAUCCCCGCAGGCUUCGCCAAUGGCAAUAAUAUCAAAUUUCUUCUCAUCAAUGGGAAUUUCCAUUUCCAACUUGCUUGUUACCCCCAUGUCUAGGACUGCUGUAUAAGUAAUAGGAAAACCUCUUUUUCUUCACAACUUUAUCACAGCAGCUCAAUUUAUUUGCAACAUGCUGAGCUGGAGUUCGGAUUGCAUUUGCCUUCUUAGCACCUUCCCUUUGUGUCAUUAGUCAAGCGACCGCCUGGCUGCUCCAGCUUGUUUCUGACAGAACAGAGUAGCUUUGAGAUGGAGGCCAUUUUGCUCAUCUGUGAUUGCAUAUAUAUAUAAAAGACUGAAAACGGCAUUUCAAAACCUCCAGCAACUCGUCUACACGCUGCAGCCACUUAUUUUCCAGUGACACCAGAACACUUUUUCCUACUCACCAGCUGGUGAGAAGUGUCAAGCGACAACGCCAGCAGCUCACAUGAAGAAUUGCUGCCUUCAAACACCAAACUUCAUUGCUGUGAGUACAACCACGUCAUCCCUGCUGCUGCUGGUCCUUGAAUACACUUGUGCCUGGAGUGCCCCUUUGCCUCAUUUCAUUCCCUGGUAGCUGCUGGUAGGUGGGAGAAAGGGUGAGCAUCACCCUCCAAGUCGUCAGCGUCACAACAGAGGAACUGCCGAAUCAGAUGUCAUCUGGGAAAUUCUUCUUCAGCAGUAACACCUUUCGUGCCAAGGAAUCAUACAGACCGACUAGCACUCCUCCUCCGUGUUCACAGCCACUGUACCGAUCGAGCUGUUUGUCAUCUGUCAUGCUGACACAAAGCUGGGAUCAGCGGCACAGGAGCUCUGUCUCCUGAGCUGGUCAGAGAGAAAGUUAUCUGCGUCCCCUUUUCCUUUGUGGGAGGCUGACAUACAACGAAAUUUGAUGACCAUAGGUGGGAGGGAGAAAGAGGCUUAUGGUGGUAGCCCUGGACUACAAGUGGUGAUUAUCAAAUGGAGAACAAUUAAUUCAAAAAAGCCCCAAUUUAGGAAAGCACUCAGACGUGGUUUUCUCUAAUAAUGUAUCUAAGAUGUUUCUUGUCUGGCAAAGGAUGUAAAUACAGGCAGCCUUAAGCAUGUGCUGAGGAACUCUGUGGCAGAGACCUCAACUGUGUAAAAAAUGGUCGCCGUACUGUAGAGGAAAAUGACAAUAUAAAGCAUUUCUCCAGGGCUGCCUGGCACUAAUGACUUUAAUACUGCGAGUUGAACAAACUUAUGUGGCAGCAGUGACUGUGAAGGAGGACUUUUAACUUGCCUACAAUAACUACCUUGCGAGGAGCUGAGUGUUUCAGUCAGUGUGAUGAAUAGUGACUAGGAGCCAGUGGAAGGCCAGCGGGAGGAGGCGGUGUGGAAGGUGGAGCUGGAUGGGGCAGGGUGCAGGGCACGGCUGUAGGAGAGCAUCUCUGGCAACACAACAGCGAUGUGGUGGAGCACGUGCUUGAUUCCUAAAGUUUGCAGCAAAAAGCUUGGCUGCACGGUGAAGGAUCUGCCGAAUUGGGACUUAGAAAUGCAGAAGUGAUACAGAUAAAGUGCGUGCAUGAGCACACACUUCCCCAAAAAUGUACAGGCUCAGAGAGGAGGUUGGCAAAGGACCAUGACCUCAGAUGAAUCCAUAGCAGAUCCAAGCCAUACAGGAAGGUAAAAAAGAAAUAGUGUGACAAUAGAAUGUGUGAGUCUGCUAACACUGCUUACACCACGUCUGUUCCUGUGCAUCAGCAGGCACUGACAGAAGACACAGGCAGAGUUGCAGGAACCAGGACUUUACAGAGCUGAUGGAGGGGCCAGCGCUGAAUGCUGAAGCUUGCUUGCUCUCUGUCUCUGCAUCCAUCCCCAGACUGAUGUUCCAGCGCCUGUAGGUCUCCUCCUGCAAUCAGUCUCAGUACUGUUCACCAGACUGAGCCAUACUUCCAAUUAUAUUUAUAGGCCUAUUAGUAAAACUUGUGAUCUAUUCAUAGACAAGCCAUGAACACAAGAAGAGAGUCAAAUGCAGUCAAUAAAUUGCCUGCAAGAAGUAAACUGUGCCAUCAGCAAAAUUUUGUAUCUGUGUUGUUCUCCUCUUUCUCUUAGAUCGUUAAUAAACAUAUUGAACACCCCUGGUCCUGAUGCUGAUCCCUGGAGCAUCUUGCUAUUAACCUCCUUUCAUGCAGAGAAUUGGACGCUUAUUCCUUUCCUUUGUUUCUUACCUCUUAUCUAGGUUUUAAUCCAUGUCAGGACUUUGCCUACCACCCUACGGGUAACAAAUUUCUUUAAUAGCUGCUUGUGAAAGACUGUAUCAGAAGCCUUUUGAAAAGUUUAAAUAAAUUAUAUCCCCCCC